rnacentral:sRNA from 1 species
UUACCCAUCGUGAUGUGGUUAUUGCAAUCAAUAAGUUAUUGAUGCAAGGGGCAAUAUAUUGUUGCCCUUUUUUAUUU